rnacentral:snoRNA from 1 species
GUCGACGUACUUCAUAGGAUCAUUUCUAUAGGUCACGUCCCUCUUUGACUCUUCAAAAGAGCCACUGAAUCCAACUUGGUUGAUGAGUGAGAUUACCCUUAUACCCUCAAAGUGAGAUAAUAACAUGAAAUUUUUUGCUUGACCGUGAUUCUUUGCAAUCUGGCCAUCUACUUAUAAUGUUUUGCCUUUAACUUUUUUUUUGAUGCUAACCUAGUCAUAGGUGAUGCAUUUAAUAUUUCUAAAGGAGCGAUGAUCUUUACCCUUUUCAUUGUGCCUUCUAGGAGGAUUUUGAAUUGGGUGGGUAUAAGCGGCUGUCUGACAAGU